rnacentral:rRNA from 1 species
CCUACGGGGGGCAGCAGUGGGGAAUAUUGGACAAUGGGGGCAACCCUGAUCCAGUCAUGCCGCGUGUGUGAAGAAGGCCCUCGGGUUGUAAAGCACUUUCAGUGAGGAAGAACGCCUGGUGGUUAAUACCCAUCAGGAAAGACAUCACUCACAGAAGAAGCACCGGCUAACUCCGCGCCAGCAGCCGCGGUAAUACGGAGGGUGCGAGCGUUAAUCGGAAUUACUGGGCGUAAAGCGCGCGUAGGUGGCUUGAUAAGCCGGUUGUGAAAGCCCCGGGCUCAACCUGGGAACGGCAUCCGGAACUGUCAAGCUAGAGUGCAGGAGAGGAAGGUAGAAUUCCCGGUGUAGCGGUGAAAUGCGUAGAGAUCGGGAGGAAUACCAGUGGCGAAGGUGGCCUUCUGGACUGACACUGACACUGAGGUGCGAAAGCGUGGGUAGCAAACAGGAUUAGAUACCCGAGUAGUC